UGAGUAACCUGCCCUUAACUCUGGGAUAAGCCUGGGAAACUGGGUCUAAUACCGGAUAUGACUCCUCAUCGCAUGGUGGGGGGUGGAAAGCUUUUUGUGGUUUUGGAUGGACUCGCGGCCUAUCAGCUUGUUGGUGAGGUAAUGGCUCACCAAGGCGACGACGGGUAGCCGGCCUGAGAGGGUGACCGGCCACACUGGGACUGAGACAUCGGCCCAGACUCCGUACGGGAGCAG
rnacentral:rRNA from 1 species